CUUCUGAUGAAAUGACUAACAACUGUUGCCAGAUCAGCAAGUAGCAACCACAAGGCACCUAAGUGUAAAAGGAGUCGCCUGAGAAUGAAUGUCGGUGAGGUUCUUCUACUAUAAGAGCAGCGUAUGCAAAGGCAGGAUCAGGCUGAGGUGUAUGGGAAGAGUUCAUUGUUGAGUUUGCUUGGAACAUCUUUACUGUCAGCCUACAGGGUGAAAUUUUUGAGGUGCUAUUGCAUACUCUGAGACACGCAGCGUGGAGAUGAAUGCAGCAGUGUAAUGAAAGGACCCUGAUGUGCUGCCCAUAGUGUGUAACCCCGCAAGGUUUCUCGUAUGAGUAAAUGCCUGUGGACUUGAGCCAAAGCUUGAACUGAUUAGCCUGAGAAGACCAGUACUAUCACCAGACCGCGUGGUGUCAGAACAAGAUAAAACUGUACAGAGCGUACCACCAUGCACUGAAGUUUCUCCUUUAAAAAACAAGUUACUUUGGGCAUCUCUCAAUCACUGCGGUUACCAUGCUAGAAACAAUUGCUAUUCUGUGCUGUGGUUUUGUAAAGUAACAGUCUUAUUUAGAGCUUUGUGUGCUAAACUUGGAUAUGUCCACUCUAUUGUAGACUAUGCGUACCUAAAAAUGGAAUGGUUACGCUAAAAUUAAGCAGACAGCCAAAUGAUACACACUUCCUCUCCUUUGUUUUUUCUGACAGACCACAAUUACUGCAAAGAAGUUGUCCACUCAUUACUGCGAGCUCUGGGGAAAAGGAGGAGUGACAGUAUGUAGACCAAUAUAGCGUUAGUCUAAAGAGACACUUGCUGUGGCAAGCACAGCAUGUAAAUUCCAAAGUUAAGCACUCUGGAAAAUGUCCAAAAGAUGAAGAUACAAACAUUAUCCCUG
rnacentral:lncRNA from 1 species